AUAUGAAUCACUUGGGGAUCUUGUUAAAACGAGGAUUCUGAUUCAAGAGGUCUACAGUAGAGUCUGGGAUUCUGCAUUUCUAACAAGCUCCAAGGUAAUCCCAAU
rnacentral:pre_miRNA from 1 species